GUCCUGACUUUAGCAGUGCAUAUAAUCAAAUUGGAAAGAUACAGAGAAGAUCAGUAUAGCUCCUGUGCAAAAUACUGUGGUUUCCUAGGCAGGUCUUACUUAA